AUUUUGCUGGUCACUGCGACAACGUGAGCACCCAUUGCAGCCGUGCCAUACUUUUAUCCAAAAGGGCCGCGUUAAUUAACAAACCAAUUUCCUUCCUGCAGCACAUGAAUGAUACAUACAGCGUAUGAAGAAACGAUGUAUGCCGACAAGAAACAUCAAAACUGAGAUCGAAUCAGCCAAACUGAAAGCAUCGCGGGCCUGUGAAUCUUUUCCUCUUUGCACACUGCCUAGAAUUGAC